CACGGGUGAGUAACGCGUAUGCGACCUGCCCGUUGCAGGGGGAUAAUCGGGAGAAAUCCCGUCUAAUACCGCGUAACGCCGCGGGGCUGCAUGGCCCUGCGGCCAAAGGGAGCGAUUCCGGCAACGGAUGGGCAUGCGUGACAUUAGCUAGUUGGCGGGGCAACGGCCCACCAAGGCGACGAUGUCUAGGGGUUCUGAGAGGAAGGUCCCCCACACUGGUACUGAGACACGGACCAGACUCCUACGGGAGGCAGCAG
rnacentral:rRNA from 1 species